rnacentral:rRNA from 1 species
CGGCAACAGCUCAAAUUUGAAAUCUGGCUCUCGGGCCCGAGUUGUAAUUUGUAGAGGAUACUUUUGAUGCGGUGCCUUCCGAGUUCCCUGGAACGGGACGCCAUAGAGGGUGAGAGCCCCGUC